CUCCCGCCUCCCGCCUCCCGCCGGGCAAGCCAGGCGCCGGCUGUGUCGGGCCCAGCGGCGGAGCAGUUCACGUCUUCUGUCAGAGGGCUGGGCUGUGCGGCCGGCCCUGUGGGCCCCGCGGGCCGAGCACCACCUGGCCCGGCCCUCAGGUCCGGGGCCGCAGCGCCUGGACACGGCUGUCCUACACACGUGAGGCCCGCACAGGGCGGCGAAGACGCUGAGAAGAUGCGGAAGCACCGCGUCUGCAGUCAGCUCACCGACAGUCCUGCGCGGCGUGGGCGUGGGGAGCCACCAGCAGGGGGGCGUGAGGAGCACCGCCAGGAGUGACCCAGGCGCCGCCUGUUCGGGCGCAGAGCCGGCAUGGCGCCGGGCUCCCCAGCGCAGGGCCGAGCGCGCAGCGGAAGGUCCGGGUCUGGAGGCCGAGGCCCCGCUGCCGGUGCCGGCGGAUUUCCCUCAGAGGCGCCUCCUCCCGCGUCUCCCUCACCUUCCCUGCGUCUCUGUGUCCGCAGGUCCCUUCCCACCGGGACACGGUGGGCGCAGGGUCAGGGCCACGCGGGAGACCUAGCACCCGGUGACUCACCCGGUCACCUCCGGGGACCUGUCUCCAGUCCCAUCCCGAGGUCAAAGGUCAGGCGUCCAAGGGGACACAGUGUGGGGACGAAGGUCAGCCCUGACAGGCCUCAGUGGGGAAGUGGGGCUUUGCUUGCGGAGGAAAGCGGGGAACCUCCGAGUGCCGGGAAGGGGAGCCGGGCAGCAGGCAGGCCAAGGAGGUGGGCUCUGCGGCGGACCGACCUCAGCCUUUCCCGCCGGGGACCAGCCCUGCGGCCCUGGAAACAAACCAACAUCCGCAGAGCCUGGCGCCCCCGCCACGCGACCUGCCCGCGGGCCGCCCCAGGACGGUGGCCCUCCCGGAGCAACGCCGCGGCUCCAGGCGCAGCGGGUUCCUGAUGCUCGUCCCUGCGCCACGGGGCGUGUGGCCACGGGGCCUCCACCGCCUCGGGAAAGGAGGCUCCGGGCCCUGGCUCUCCUGGAACCCCGCGGCACCUUUUCUGGGAAUGGCUUCUCCCAUAGCCCUCCGUCCCACCAGCCGUCUUCGCCAGAGGCUUCAGCCUGUGAUUUCACGAGACAAUGAGCACGGACUCCACCCCCACAUUCGGUGUCACUGGCACCCGAGUAGGAGGAGCUUCUCGCCACAGGAGAACAACAGGCCAGGAAGACGCGGGACCCCAGGAGUCAGACCCUGCGAGGACCGGGGACUGUCCUGAAGGCGCCCGUCGCACACCUGCCUUCCGCCCGCCUGCCCGCCCAGCUCGGCCCAGGCUGCUGAGGACUGUCCCGCCAGCCACCGCAUGAGGAGCCACCCCAGUCGGGGCGGCCAGCAUCGCCCCCGUGUCCCCUUGGCUCGGUGCUACACCGCCCUUCCUUUUGGAUGUCCCAUCCCCAUCCUCUUUCCCUAAAUAAAUUCAAUUUUUCUUUAUCCACCAAAAAAUAAACAAAACAAAAAACCA